AUUGAACGCUGGCGACAUGCCUUACACAUGCAAGUCGAACGGCAGCACGGGUGCUUGCACCUGGUGGCGAGUGGCGAACGGGUGAGUAAUACAUCGGAACAUGUCCUGUAGUGGGGGAUAGCCCGGCGAAAGCCGGAUUAAUACCGCAUACGAUCUACGGAUGAAAGCGGGGGACCUUCGGGCCUCGCGCUAUAGGGCUGGCCGAUGGCUGAUUAGCUAGUUGGUGGGGUAAAGGCCUACCAAGGCGACGAUCAGUAGCUGGUCUGAGAGGACGACCAGUCACACUGGAACUGAGACACGGCCCAGACUCCUACGGGAGGCAGCAGUGGGGAAUUUUGGACAAUGGGCGAAAGCCUGAUCCAGCAAUGCCGCGUGUGUGAAGAAGGCCUUCGGGUUGUAAAGCACUUUUGUCCGGAAAGAAAUCCUUGGCCCUAAUACGGUCGGGGGAUGACGGUACCGGAAGAAUAAGCACCGGCUAACUCCGUG
rnacentral:rRNA from 1 species